rnacentral:piRNA from 1 species
GAGAGGAAACUGUAGGGGGUUUUCU